ACACAGCGCUGCAGGGAUGAUAUCAACUGGGAUGUGAAAAUCAUUUUACAAAACUGAUUUUUUUUUAACGAUUUUAGGAGCAAUCUCGUGUGAAAUUAUGGGAAUUAGGCUACAGUAAACUACUACAGAUUAGAGUAAAUAUUUUGUUGGCGCUGAUUCACUUCAAGCCCGAUGCACUCCGUCCAGAGACUGACAUCUGACGAGUCAGGACAACAGAUUUUGUCAAUACCCACCAAGUGUCCUCCAUCUCUCUGGUGUCGCUCAUUUUCCUAUAUUAAGGACAUCUUAACUUCCAGAGCUCUGCCUUUUCAUCCAUCCAUUUAAUCUCAUGAUCUCAACCUAACUGUUUGAAAGUUUUUCGCCAGUGAAGCAGCUCAAAGCUGACCUUGUAUAGACUCUUACUGACCAGACCACACCACACCUGUGUCCCUGAAUCCAUGGAAGCCAAAGCCAAGGCAGGGGCUCCAGCACCCAAGGCAGCAUCCAAAACAGACAAGAAGGAGCCAGCAGCACCACGCAAGGCUGAUCACGCCCCUGCGGACCCAGAGCCCGAGGAUCCCCGCUUCUCCUCUGUUCAAGAUGGAGCAGCAGAAGCUGAGUCAGCAGCGGGUGACAAGGCCUCUGGUACAGACUCUAUGGAACAUCUCAAGCCUUUUCUUAUUGGCGGUGCCAUUAUCGCUGCAGGAGCCAUUUUGCUGGGAGUUCUGCUGCUGGCAAGGAGAAAUUAAAACCAAAUUAAGAUAGGAAUAUUGCUGACUGGUUCACAGACUUUUCUGGUUUGAUGAGCGAUGGGGAGACACAGCAGUCUGUGUGUAUUUUCUUUUUUAUCUUUGUCUUAUUUAGGGUUUCUUUUUUGGCCUGCUUUCAUGUGUAGUGCAUCAGCCUAUGUAAUGUUUGAUCAAGGCUUUAUAGGGAGCAUAACUAUACUUACUAUAUGCAUGACGUUGCUACAAUACUGCAUAUAAAAUGUAAUUAGAACAUUUUUUAAAAAGAAAAAAACUACACUCCAUUACAUAGCCAAAUGAACUCUUUAAUGUAUAAAUAUUGAUAGAGUUUUGAUAUUUAUGCAAUCUUGCUGUUUAUUUUGCUUAAGGUCAUGAAAAAAAAUCUCUAUCAAUGUCCCUCGACUAUCUAUGAUUUCAAAGUAAAUGAGUUGGUGAAAGGAGAAUGUUCUGAAAGUUUUGGCCAAAUAAACUAAAUACAAGCUGAAUAGUGAAUCGUAAAGAUUGAGAUUAAUUUGAGUCUGUGCUCUAGAGAAAGUUUACUUUUGUGACCUUGGAAACAGAAGCUGAAGUAUAGAUUUUGAUCAGUUUUGGGCUGGAAACAUGCAAAGUGUGUUUAAUAUAUGAAGUAUGUGCCAAGAGAGGUAAAAAAAAUACAUUAAAAUCUAUUUCAUGUUGAGAUAAAGACAUUAGUUUUUAUCCAGAGUCAAACCUGCAUAUUUUGGUUGAUUCUCAGUUGUUACAGAUGCUUUUCCUGGGCUAAGUUCAGAAAAAAAUACACUAUAUUAAUGUUCAGAAAUCUAAAAUCACUUACCUUUUUUUUUCUUUUUUUUCUUACAAUCAGAACAUACAAUCAUGGCAUGGGUAAUGAUAAAGACUGCAAAGGACUGAACAUGGAAUCAAAUAUUCUUUUGGUGUAGAAUAAUGAAGAUAUUUUUUUCUUGUCAAAUACUAAUACAAAUUUAUUAUCUCUCACAUAUUUCCAAGCAAAAAUACUUUUGAUAUUUGAAUUUGUUUACAUCUAACACUUGACACUGUAUUAUAUGUGGGUUACAUUAGACUGAAAGACUGCUAUCAAAACAUCAGAUGUUUUUGUCUUUCCUCUGUGGUGUUGUUGAAUGCAAAAACCAUAUAGGUGACAUGAAAGUACCUUACAUUUACAUAAGCAUAAAAGUUAUGUGGAUGUUUGCUCUCGUAAUUCACUCACAGAAAAAACACACACAGUUGUUGCUGCACAAAUUUAUCUGUACAGCGGUUCACAGUAAUUUCUGCUUGCACUGCAUAACUCAAGUUGACUGACUACAGUAGAAAGAUACGUCUCACACACAUACACACACUGGUGGUCUUAAUUUAAAUAAAUUAAACACAGUUUAGAGAAAGUUAUUCAUAAACAUUCACAACUUCCCUAUUACGAUAAAAAAAAUAGUAUGCCAGUACAAAAAUGUCACCUUACAUUGUACUAUACAGUGUAUUUAAAAAAGUAGUAUAAGAAGAAAAUUCCUAUUUUCAUAAUUUCAAAAGCGUAUAAAUGCAAUAAUUCAAGUAGGAGUCCUCAUUUAGCAUAUGUGCUGUAGCAGAUUAAAAUACAUAGAUGAUGUAAUCAUGUAUGGUGUUACUGAUGGCUAUGAUAGUGAUGAUAUUUAUCAUGGUGACUGUAAUGAUGAUACUGAUGGAUAUGAUAUUAUAUAUAUA